rnacentral:rRNA from 1 species
GGAGGGUGCAAGCGUUAAUCGGAAUUACUGGGCGUAAAGCGCACGCAGGCGGUUGAUUAAGUUAGAUGUGAAAUCCCCGGGCUUAACCUGGGAAUGGCAUCUAAGACUGGUCAGCUAGAGUCUUGUAGAGGGGGGUAGAAUUCCAUGUGUAGCGGUGAAAUGCGUAGAGAUGUGGAGGAAUACCGGUGGCGAAGGCGGCCCCCUGGACAAAGACUGACGCUCAGGUGCGAAAGCGUGGGGAGCAAACAGGAUUAGAUACCCUGGUAGUCCACGCUGUAAACGAUGUCGAUUUGAAGGUUGUUCCCUUGAGGAGUGGCUUUCGGAGCUAACGCGUUAAAUCGACCGCCUGGGGAGUACGGCCGCAAGGUUA